UCCCGGACUAAUACCGGAUACUAUGUCAAACCGCAUGGUUUGACAUUCAAAGACGGUUUCGGCUGUCACUUACAGAUGGGCCCGCGGCGCAUUAGCUAGUUGGUGAGGUAAUGGCUCACCAAGGCGACGAUGCGUAGCCGACCUGAGAGGGUGAUCGGCCACACUGGGACUGAGACACGGCCCAGACUCCUACGGGAGGCAGCAGUAGGGAAUCUUCCGCAAUGGACGAAAGUCUGACGGAGCAACGCCGCGUGAGUGAUGAAGGUUUUCGGAUCGUAAAACUCUGUUGUCAGGGAAGAACAAGUGCCGGAGUAACUGCCGGCGCCUUGACGGUACCUGACCAGAAAGCCACGGCUAACUACGUGCCAGCAGCCGCGGUA
rnacentral:rRNA from 2 species